UGCAAACUAUUGCUAGGAGAAAUCCGAUGUUGAUGGUCUGGCUGUCGACUUCUAUUCUCAACACUUGGAAAACGCUUCAGGCUUCCGGGCCGUAAAAGCGUAGGUUCUUUCUCGUGCCAAGCACUCUAUAGUUUAAAAUCGUUAUUCUGCGCGCCUUGCCGGCGUGCUGGUACCGUUCAGUGGACCAGCCUUUGGAGUACAAUCUAUUUAGGGGGGAUUUUCUCUGAUGGGUUUUCUGGCAAACUAUUGUCUGUACGGACAUGGACAACUUUUAUUUUUCACACUUGGGGGGGAUUUGUUUCACAUGUCAAAAAAGUCCGGGUUCUGACAUAUUGCCUUGCUAGCCAUGCACAAAGCGUUGGCACUAGCCUUGGGGCUUUUGGCCAAGAAAAAACAUUGGGUUAUCCUUUACCCCGUUAAAGGGCGAAAGGAAAUCCGGUCAACAUUCCGAAACCCGGUUGCGUAAACCGCUCUCUGUUGGCAUUAGCCGGCGAGCGCUUUGUUGGGGUAACCCAAGUUGUCCCGAAAACUCUGGCGGGGGGUCUGGGAAGAGUUUUCUUUUCUUUUUAACCGUUCGUGAACCCUGGAAUUCUAUAGCAAAGAGAUAGGGUUGGAAACGCGAAAACUAUGGCAGGUUGCGGGCGGUUGACCGGACUUCCCCCCCAGACCGUUGAAAAAUCUGGUUAGGAGGACGCGGUGGUCGCGCCGGUUCGUUUCCCAUAUCCGCAUCUUGUCUCCAAGGUUCAAAGCCUCUUGUCGAUAGAAUAUGGUAGUUAAGGAAGUCGGCAAAUUGGAUCCGUAACUUCGGGACAAAGAUUGGCUCUGAGGAUCGGGGCGUGUCGGGCUGGUCGGGAAGUGGGUCAGUGCCAACGUGCCGGGCCUGGGCGAGGGUUUGUUGUGGUUUCCUUGUGUCUCCCACAAUCCGAACUCGGUCCCGUGCCACUUGGCCUCCCGCGGAUCUUCCUUGCUGCGGGUUUUCGACCAAGCAGACCUGACUGGGCCGCUUCAGGCCCGUCUGGAAGGCUUCGAAUCAAUCCCUUCGGCCGCCAUUCAACGGUCAACUCAGAACUGGCACGGACAAGGAGAAUCCGACUGCCUAAUUAAAGCAAAGCAUUGCGAGGGCUCUAGCCGAGUGUUUACGCAAUGUGAUUUCUGCCCAGUGCUCUGAAUGUCAACGUGUAGAAAUUCAAGCAAGCGCGGGUAAACGGCGGGAGUAACUAUGACUCUCUUAAGGUAGCCAAAUGCCUCGUCAUCCAAUUAGUGACGCGCAUGAAUGGAUUAACGAGAUUCUCACUGUCCCUAUCUACUAUCUAGCGAAACCACAGCCAAGGGAACGGGCUUGGAAACAUUAGCGGGGAAAGAAGACCCUGUUGAGCUUGACUCUAGUCUGGCACUGUAAGGAGACAUGAGAGGUGUAGCAUAAGUGGGAGAAGGUGGGCUCUAAUGCCUGUCCGUCGACGGUGAAAUACCACUACUUUCAUCGUUUCUUUACUUACUCGGAUAGGCGGAGAGCGUGUUCGUCGAGGGCUCAGCCCACGCGGACCGGUAUUCUCGCGCCAAGCGUCCGGGUUGCCGGCAAGCGCCCGUCAGUGCUUGGGUUUGUGCGUGUCUUUCGACUAGUCCCCGCAAGGUGGCUUUUCAUAGACCCACAUCUCUUGCCUCGACUGGGCGCCGUCGACCGGCAAACACUCCCACGCGUGAUCCGAUUCGAGGACACAGCCAGGCGGAGAGAUGACCUCCUCAAACCCC
rnacentral:rRNA from 1 species